rnacentral:rRNA from 1 species
GGUUCAGGAUGAACGCUAGCUACAGGCUUAACACAUGCAAGUCGAGGGGCAGCAUGGUCUUAGCUUGCUAAGGCCGAUGGCGACCGGCGCACGGGUGAGUAACACGUAUCCAACCUGCCGUCUACUCUUGGACAGCCUUCUGAAAGGAAGAUUAAUACAAGAUGGCAUCAUGAGUCCGCAUGUUCACAUGAUUAAAGGUAUUCCGGUAGACGAUGGGGAUGCGUUCCAUUAGAUAGUAGGCGGGGUAACGGCCCACCUAGUCUUCGAUGGAUAGGGGUUCUGAGAGGAAGGUCCCCCACAUUGGAACUGAGACACGGUCCAAACUCCUACGGGAGGCAGCAGUGAGGAAUAUUGGUCAAUGGGCGAGAGCCUGAACCAGCCAAGUAGCGUGAAGGAUGACUGCCCUAUGGGUUGUAAACUUCUUUUAUAAAGGAAUAAAGUCGGGUAUGGAUACCCGUUUGCAUGUACUUUAUGAAUAAGGAUCGGCUAACUCCGUGCCAGCAGCCGCGGUAAUACGGAGGAUCCGAGCGUUAUCCGGAUUUAUUGGGUUUAAAGGGAGCGUAGAUGGAUGUUUAAGUCAGUUGUGAAAGUUUGCGGCUCAACCGUAAAAUUGCAGUUGAUACUGGAUAUCUUGAGUGCAGUUGAGGCAGGCGGAAUUCGUGGUGUAGCGGUGAAAUGCUUAGAUAUCACGAAGAACUCCGAUUGCGGAGGCAGCCUGCUAAGCUGCAACUGACAUUGAGGCUCGAAAGUGUGGGUAUCAAACAGGAUUAGAUACCCUGGUAGUCCACACGGUAAACGAUGAAUACUCGCUGUUUGCGAUAUACUGCAAGCGGCCAAGCGAAAGCGUUAAGUAUUCCACCUGGGGAGUACGCCGGCAACGGUGAAACUCAAAGGAAUUGACGGGGGCCCGCACAAGCGGAGGAACAUGUGGUUUAAUUCGAUGAUACGCGAGGAACCUUACCCGGGCUUAAAUUGCAGAUGAAUUACGGUGAAAGCCGUAAGCCGCAAGGCAUCUGUGAAGGUGCUGCAUGGUUGUCGUCAGCUCGUGCCGUGAGGUGUCGGCUUAAGUGUCAUAACGAGCGCAACCCUUGUUGUCAGUUACUAACAGGUUCCGCUGAGGACUCUGACAAGACUGCCAUCGUAAGAUGUGAGGAAGGUGGGGAUGACGUCAAAUCAGCACGGCCCUUACGUCCGGGGCUACACACGUGUUACAAUGGGGGGUACAGAGGGCCGCUACCACGCGAGUGGAUGCCAAUCCCCAAAACCUCUCUCAGUUCGGACUGGAGUCUGCAACCCGACUCCACGAAGCUGGAUUCGCUAGUAAUCGCGCAUCAGCCACGGCGCGGUGAAUACGUUCCCGGGCCUUGUACACACCGCCCGUCAAGCCAUGGAAGCCGGGGGUACAAGAAGUGCGUAACCGCGAGGAGCGCCCUAGGGUAAAA